AUUGAACGCUGGCGGCAUGCCUAACACAUGCAAGUCGAACGGAUCCUUCGGGAUUAGUGGCGGACGGGUGAGUAACACGUGGGAACGUGCCCUUUGGUUCGGAACAACUCAGGGAAACUUGAGCUAAUACCGGAUGUGCCCUUCGGGGGAAAGAUUUAUCGCCAUUGGAGCGGCCCGCGUCUGAUUAGCUAGUUGGUGAGGUAAAGGCUCACCAAGGCGACGAUCAGUAGCUGGUCUGAGAGGAUGAUCAGCCACAUUGGGACUGAGACACGGCCCAAACUCCUACGGGAGGCAGCAGUGGGGAAUCUUGCGCAAUGGGCGAAAGCCUGACGCAGCCAUGCCGCGUGAAUGAUGAAGGUCUUAGGAUUGUAAAAUUCUUUCACCGGGGACGAUAAUGACGGUACCCGGAGAAGAAGCCCCGGCUAACUUCGUGCCAGCAGCCGCCGUAA
rnacentral:rRNA from 1 species